ACUCCCUCUCGACUCCGUUCAACUCCUAAAAACAUAUCAGCCAUAGACUCGAAUAUCUGCGGAUCACCAGCAACCAACUUCCCGUCUCCCGACUCUCCCCCAUCUUGGACCCACCAAAAGCAACGUUGCGGGUCUCUUUCCGUCGUAUCGUUCUCGCUGUUCUCGCCCUUCUGGCUCCAACUCAUUCGACGGUGAUUGGAAAUAUGGACUUGGCAGCAACCUUAAUCGGUAACUCUAAUCUGCGCCAAAAUAUUAUCUCUCCAACCCUUUUGUAAAUAGUCUUUUGUAUUUCGAUCCAGCUCUGGAAUUAACCUUUUGCGGCCAUG
rnacentral:misc_RNA from 1 species